ensembl:lncRNA
CAUGAUAUUCUCUAUUGUGAUAGGGUGGGAGGGAGGAGAAUGCUGGGCCAUUGUGAUGUCUAUCUGUAGACUUUGAGUGUGAGAAUAAGAGAAUUCUUCCUCUGGUACUAUUCAACAGCAGCAGGUUUACACCCACUAGAGGAGAAAGCUUGGAAGACUAAAGACUUCAGGGAACACCCUUUUCCAUUUCAACCCAAGGGGCCCAUUCCUUCCUUAAUAUGGAAAAAAAAUCAAGUAUGCUCCGUGUUCUUGGAGGCAGAGAGAGAAGUCCCUUCCCUAAAUUUACAAUGCAUCCAAGGUUUUGACUAGAUAAAGGCAAAAAAUCAGCAGUUAGUGUCUAGUAGCCUACAAGAGAACGCAUUUGAGGAAAGAUAUUGAAAAGCUGGAAUACAUCUAGAGAAUAGCUACAUGGAUGAGAAAGGGAUUCAAAGUCAUACUGUGAAUAGAAAGAUUGAAACUCCUACAAAUGUUUAGCGUAAAGAAGAAACUACUGGGGGGAAAGAGUAUGAAGUUUAUGGAAAAAGAUAAUGGCCUCUCCAAAAGGUCCUCAUCUCAGUUUACAGAUUUGUUUCUGGAAAAAACAAAAAGGGGGAAACCCGAAGUUAGUGAAAAAACUAAAGAUGAUGCCUCUGUACCCGUCAAAAGAAGAAAGAUCGUUUUUGAACCCCCUAAAACUGCUACCAACUCUGGUCUCUUAAGAAAUAUUGAAAAUAAAAAAAUAUGGAACACAUAUCAGUCAGCUCUGUCACAGUCUAAGUCAACACCAUCAAAAAUACCAUUAUUUAUGAAUGAAAAACCCUCCCCUCCCUGGGAAGACGAGGGAAAAACGGAGGAAGAAUGUCUACUUGAUUCUUUAAGAAAAAUGGUUAAUGAAAACCAAGAGCUAAGGAAAGAAAAUGAAGAAUUGAAGCAAUUAAUUAAAGAAAUGAAGAAUUCUUUCCUACAUAGGUUAUUUACUCCAGACAUCCAUAUGACGACAAUAGACUAUCUACAGCAACUUUUGAGCCAUUUGGAAAAAACAGCUCCAACGAAUAUUUAUUCUUCAUUCCUAAGAGAUGACUUGAAUCUUCAGGAUAAAAAUACAAAACCUUUGAUUAUAGAUCCUCGGGAUCCAGAUAAAUACUCCAAAGUGCUGGUGGACCAACUUAAAGUAUCUUCUGUAGUGAAGAAGGCAAAGCAGCAGAAAUAUUAUCGAGUAGCCUGCUUGUUAAAUGGACUUAUUGAUAUCUUGUUCAGUCCUGAGGAGCUGGCAAGUUCCCGUCAAUCAAGCCUGAAAGGGGAGUUUCCGAAAAAGAAAGAAGAUAAACUAGAAAAAGUUAAAAUUUUAGCUUGUGAAGAAUUUAUCAAGCAAACUUGCAAUAAGGAAGGGUGGAAGGAACCAAGCCAAAGGGAGUUCCAAAAAAUUUUCACAGCCAAGAUAGACAAUGCCCGUUGGAAUAUAAGACACGCCAUGCAAAAAGCUGCCUGAAGAUGUGCCCUUCUUUCUUCUCACCAUUCUACUAUGUAAUACUUUGGCUCAAAGGAAAGUCAGACAAUUAAAUAAGGGAAGUGCUGUAAUUUCUUGCUGUGCAAAUAGAAAGACAAAUUUAUUUUCUCUCAAAUAUCUUGUAAGACAAUCCACAAUGUAUAAGCAUAUCCCAAAUCAUAUUUCUUAUUCUGUCAAAUAGUUUGUAUAAUGUUGGGAUUAGUUGUUCUUUGAAUGUUUGAUAGAAUUCAUUUGUGAAUCCAUCAGAAUCUGGGGAUUUAUUCUUAGGGAGUCCUUUGAUGGCUUGUUCAAUUUCUUUUUCUGAUAUGGGGUUGUUUAGGUUGUCUAAGUCUUCCUCUGUUAGUCUAGGCAAUUUAUAUUUUUGUAAAUGUUCAUAUCACAUAGAUUGCCAUAUUUAUUGCCAUAUAAUUGGAAAUAAUAGUUUUUAAUGAUUGUCUUAAUUUCCUCUUCAUUAGAGGUGAGGCCUCCCUUUUCAUCUUGGAUACUGUCAAUUUGGUUUUCAUCUUUUCUUUUUAAAAUUAGAUUGACCAGUACUUUGUCUAUUUUAUUUGUUUCUUUUAAAAGUACCAGUUUCUAGUCUUAUUUAUUAAAUCAAUAGUUCUUUGACUUUCAAUUUUAUUAAUUUCUCCUUUGGUUUUUAGGAUCUCUAAUUUAGUCUUUAUCUGAAGAUUUUUAAUUUGUUCACUUUCUAGUGUUUUAAUAUGCAUGCCCAAUUCAUUGACCUCUGCUCUUCCUAAUUUGUUUAAUAUAUGAACUCAAGGAUAUAAAUUUCCCCUUGAGUACUGCUGUGGCUGUAUCCCAGAGAUUUUGAAAGGAUGUCUUAUCAUUGUCAUUUUCUUCAAAAAACUUAUUGUUUCUAUGAUUUGAUCUUUAAUGGAUUUUGGAGAAUUGUAUCGUUUAAUUUCCAAUUAAUUUUUUAUUUGCCUCUCCAUGUACCCUUACUUAUUAAUAUUUUCAUUGCAUUGAGGUCUUCUUUCACUAUUUCCUUAUACACCAGUGUUUUGUUUUAAAUCAGUCCCCCUAAACCCCACCCUUAUUUUUUCUUCCCUUUCUACCCCCUCCCUUCUUAUUCCCCUCUUAUUUUCUUUACAGUCUUUUUAAACUAUCCCUUCCUUCCCUUGUAUUGCCCCUCCCCAGUCUGUUUGUUACCCUUCUACUUCCUUAUAGGGUGCAAAUCAAGUCUCUGCCCCAAUGUAUUUGAUUUUUCUUCCCUCUUUUAGUCGAUUUUAAUGCAUGGAAGAGUUGGGUAUUUCCUAUCUCCAACCUCUUUAUCCUUCCAGUGUAUUGAUGCUCUCACCCCCUCCCACCAUGCGCUUCUUUGUGACAUAUAAAUUGACCACAUUUUGUUUCUUUUCCCAUUUCUCUUAAUAUUAACCUCUUUUUUAAAACUCUAGUUGUAUACAUACACAUAUAUACAGAACUAGAUAAUAUAUAUACAGAACUAGAUAAAUCAAACCAAAUAUAUAUAUAUACACAUAUGUAUGAAUUUAUGCAUACAUAUAUCUAUAUACAUAUUUGUGUCUUGGCAUUUCAUCCUAUACAGUUUGUCACUGUUCCCUCUAAGUAUAAUUCUUCUAGCUACCCAGGUGAUAAUAACAAUUUUUAAGAGUUAUCAAUGUCCUCUUUUCUUAUAGGGAUACAUAUCAUUUUAAUUUAUUGAAUCUUUAAGAAAAGUUUUUUUGUUUUGUUUUGUUUUUCUUACCCCCCCCCCUUCUUAAUUACCUCUUGAUGAUUCUCUUGAGUUCUGUAUUUGGGCAUCAAUAUUCUGUUUAGGUCUGGUAUUUUCUUUACAAAUGCUUGGAAUUCUUUUAUUUUGUUAAAUGACCAUACUUUCCCCAGUAAGAAUAUAGUCAGUUUUGCUGGGUAGAUGAUUCUUGGUUGUAGGCCUUGUUCCCUUGCUUUCUGGAAUAUCAUAUUCCAUGCCUUUAGGUCCUUCAAUGUAGAUGCAGCCAGAUCCUGUGUUAUCCUCACUGUGGUUCCAUGGUAUGUGAAUGACUUCUUAGCAGCUUGAAAUAUUUUUUCCUUGGUCCGAUAGUUCUUGAAUUUGGCUAUAACCUUCCUGGGUGUUGUCAGUUGGGCAUUACCACAUCAUAUUUCUUAAACCAAUAUAAUUUCCUUAUAACAUCCUAAUACACUUCCACCCAACUUAUUGUGGGGUAACAUCCAACAGAGUUGUCCUUGGUGUCAGGAAGACUUGAAUUCAAGUUUUAAAACAUACUGACUGUGUGACUAUUGUGACUAUUAAGUCAUCAGGGACAAAGGCAACUUUCUAAAAUGUGUCCAGGUCUCUGUCCUGGUUUCUCCUCUUUAUAUAUAAUUUCACCAGAUGAUCUCAUCAGGUCCCAUGAAUUCAAUUAUCAUCUCCUAUCAGAUUAUUAUCAGAUUGAUCUAUCUUGUCCUAAUUUUUUUCUUCACCCCCAAUCUUAUAUCUUCAACUACCUAUUAGAUAUCUCAAAAUAGAUGCCACAUAUCCACUCUAAAUUCCACAAAUCUAAAACUGAAUUUAUUUUUUCUCCUUCUGAUUUCCCUGAUACUGUCAAGGACACUGCCAUCUUUUCAGUCACUCCUGAUCACAUGCAGUUGUAAUUUUCAACUCCUAAGAUCAUUUAUCUCCCAAAUCGAAUCUGUUGCUGAGUUCUGCUGAUUUUGCCUUCAACAUUCUCAUGCAUUCCUCUCCACCUUCUCUUUUCUGAUACUGUGAUUGCCUUGGAAUAGGCCUUCAUCACCUCACACCUAGACCUUGGAAAUAGCUUUCUGGCCUCCCUACAUCAAAUGUGUUCUUGCUCUAGUUCAUUCUCCAUUCAGCUGUCAAAGUAAUCUUCCUAAAAUGCUGGCCUGAACAUGGCACACAUCCCGAAUCAGUAAACUCCAGUAACUUCCUAUCACCUCUAGUUUCAAAUAUGAAAUCUUCUAGAGUUCAUAACUCCCACCCAUCGCCCUUUUCAGUUCUCUUUCUUUUUUAUUAAACCUUCACGUUCUCUUAGGAUUGAUUCUAAAUAUUGGUUCCAAGGUAUAAGAUCAGUAAGGACCAGGCAAUUAAUGUUACCUAGGGCCACAAAACUUGGAAGUGUCUGAGGUUAGAAUUGAACCAAGGUCCUUCUCACUUCAGGUCUGGCUCUCUAACCAUUGUACCAUCUAGCUGACCCUCCACUUGUCUUUUGUUUUAUACUCCAUCACACAGUGACAAUGACCUUCCUUGCUGGGUCCUGAAUAAGAAAUUCUAUCUCCAGUUUGGGACAUUUUAACUGGAUGUGUGCCAUUCCUGGAAUUCCCUCCUUCUUCUUCUCUGUCUCCUGGAUUAUCUGGCUUUUCUCAAAUCUUAGCUAAAAUCUCAUCUUCUGUAAAACCUUUCUCAAUCUCCCGUAGUGCUAAUGCCUUUCCUCUAUUGCAUAUCUCCACUCUCCCCUGUAUAUAUCUUGUAUGAACAUAGUUCUUUUCAUAGUAUCUCCCGCAUUAGAUUGUGAGCAUCUUGAGGCCUUUUUUGGUAUCUCUAGUUUUUUUAGCACAGCUCCUGGCACAUAGUAGGUACAUAAGAAUGCUUAUUGUUGAUUGACUGAUGACCUUCACUGGUAGAAGGAUUUUCUUCCCUAGAGAUCUCCUUUUACAGAUGAAAUCAGGAAUGUAAAAAAAAAGUCUAUUAACAACAGUAGCAGAGCAACUCUACAGUAACAGCACAAAACCACUGACACAUUCUCCAUCAUCAACAUAGGAAUCAGGUGGGUGACAAUGACUUAGACUACCUUAAAACUCCAUAACAUUAACCUCAUUCUCAAACAAUCCCACUGUUUCUCCUCUUUAAAAUAAAACAUUGUUCCCAUGGGAGUAUCUCUUUCCU